UACGUAGGUGGCGAGCGUUGUCCGGAUUUACUGGGCGUAAAGAGCGCGCAGGCGGCUGGUCAAGUCCGAUGUGAAAGCUCCCGGCUUAACUGGGAAAUUGCAUCGGAAACUGAUCGGCUGGAAGGUGGGAGAGGGUAGCGGAAUUCCCGGUGUAGUGGUGAAAUGCGUAGAGAUGUGGAGGAACACCGAUGGCGAAGGCAGCCCCCUGGGUCAAGAUUGACGCUCAUGCACGAAAGCGUGGGGAGCAAACAGG
rnacentral:rRNA from 1 species